rfam:Myotis lucifugus cont2.28960, whole genome shotgun sequence.
GGUGGUUUUUGGGGGAUGUAACACGGAAUCAGGCUCCCUCCUCUUUGGUUCUGGGUGCGUCACCCGAGAACCGUA